rnacentral:rRNA from 1 species
ACCACAUUGUGAUUCAUGACUGGGGUGAAGUCGUAACAAGGUAACCGUAGGGGAACCUGCGGUUGGAUCACCUCCUUACCUUAAAGAA